rnacentral:lncRNA from 1 species
CUUGUCAAACUGAACGAGGAAAGAAGCCUCAGCAGCGCCAACUAAGCAACCGGCUACAGACCGCGUUCCGGUGCGUGUGUGACGACACCGCCGUGUGCUCCUCCGCUGGGAGAUAUAGUGCCCUCGCCCUUGCCUCGCCCCGCCCGCGAGCGCUCCAAAGGCUUGGGCGUGGGGCUUGCUCUUCCUCUCUGCUUGACGGGCGGUGGUUCCCCCGAGACAGAAACUUGACUGAAAAAUAAUACCAAAUACCCGUGCUGCGGCCCGUGGCCCUCCAUAGGGCCACCUGAACUAGCCUCGCCUGUCCCCUUGCUCUUUGCCGUUCGUCCUUCGCGUUUUGUGAAAACAGUUGGCGCCGCAGAAAUGAGAUAAACGCCCCUGAGCUCGAAACCCGCACUCGAACUGCCACCGAGCCGACCCUUCCUGUUUUGGAACUCAGGGCCCGGCCACCCGAGAAGCACCCUCAUGGGCACUUUGUUUUUACAAGGGCCCGUUUCCAUUUCCUUCCUAAAGUUUCCUUAUCUCCUGCGGCAGGAGGGGCCCGCUGGGCUCGGGUUUUCAGCUGGGUUGGAGCUGCAGAGGCUGCGGAGUGAACGCGGCCAGGAGCCCGCCUGGGAGCGCGCAGCGCUCUAGGAGCCGAGAGCCGCUGCUUGGCCCUCGCUGGCCGGGUAAACCGAGGGGAAGCUCCUGGCCUCCUUUCCCUUAAGCCCCUUAUUGCUUCUGUGGGGAAGGCCCUCCUAGGUAGAGGCGAAGGUCCGGGGAGAUAACCUCUCCCAUGGGCCACAUCCGCUGCCAUGGUCUGUGUCGUGCCAGAAGGUACCUCUCAGCCCUCAGUGCCGUGAAAAAUCUGACACUCAAGAAGGUCAAUUGACACGCCUAACGUCGCACAGCAAUUUAGUAGCACAGCACAGAAUAGAAGCUACCCAGGCUGGCUGUCUCCCAAGCCUGUGUUUCUCUACCACAGUAACACUGCGUCUUGCAGAGCUGAAGCUGUAGUCGUGAGAUGGCUCAAGCAUUUGGGGGAACGGGAAGGCAGACCUGGGAAUGAAGAGAAUUGUUUUCUUUGAGCAGAAUUUUCAGUCAGUGGCCUACAGAAAAAGUAGAGAAGAAACAUUACUUGGUUAUUGUCACAUUUCCAAGAAGCUAGCUAAGAAAAUUAAAUCGUGUGGAUUUCUUAAAACUGCUGUUUCGUGUAACCUCCAAACAUCUAUCUGUGACUUUGGCACAAGGUGGCUUGGAUGUCUGAUCUUUGUGAUUGAACUAUAUUCACAUCCUGUUUCUAAGAUUGUGUUACUAAUGGUUUUUCCUGAGGUUUUACAACCAGUAGUGGUGUCUGCGCUGUAGUCAAGUGAAGGUUCUUUGAUCUAAGGCUAUACUUGUCAGUUGCUGUUUAUUGCUUCUUAAACUUUUACUCAAAGUCUUCUUCAAAAAGGAGAAAAGCUGUGGUUUUCUUUCUGUAGGCGGUUAGUAGUCAUUCCCAAAGAUGUUUGCCAAGUGAGCAAAUAUAUUGGAACUUCCAAAUGAGCAUUUCACUGUAAAAAUACCUGCCCCCAAAACAAUACGUGUUUCUUUUGCAAUUUAUAUGGUAUAGGAAACAUGUUCUGUGACUUCUUUGUAGCAAGCGAGAUCCUGAUGUGAAAAAAGAGAUCUAACUGUGCCAAUAACAAAUUGAGAAUUCUUGAGUAAGUUCCUUUCCUGUGUUCUUGGGACCUCAGUUUUCUUUUUGUUUGUUUGUUUGAGACGGAGAUUCGCUCUGUCGCCAGGCUGGAGUGCAGUGGCGCGAUCUCGGCUCACUCCACCUCCACCUCCCAGGUUCAAGCGAUUCUCCUGCCUCAGCCUCCCAAGUACCUGGGAUUACAGGCAUGUUUCACCAUGUUGGUCAGGCUGGUCUUGAACUCCCAACCUCAGGUGAUCCGCCCGCCUCAGCCUCCCAAAGUGCUGGAAUUACAGGCGUGAGCCACCGCGCCUGACUGGGACCUCAGUUUUCUAGUAUGUAGAAUUUGAGGAUUGGAUUAGAGAAGUUCCAGAUUCCCUUCCAGCUCUAGUAUAUGAUUCCACUGUGGAGAAAUUGGACCAUAACUUCAUUAUGUCAUUAUACUUAGGCUUAUCUGUUUCUGUGUAUAAUGCUUGACAUUGUACCAGUUGCUUAUAUGUUUAUUUUUAUAUUCAGUCUUCCCAAUAUUUAUAAUACUUCCAGAGGAAGGGUCCCAGUUUUACAGAGAAGUUAGGCUUACCAGGAAGCCUGAACUACAUUUAUCUAAAUGUGAAUCGGUGUGCCACAAAAUAUUCCUUGAGGCUUAUUACUUCAAUCCUAGUACAUGUAAAACUUGCUUUUUAGUCGUCAGCAAAUGAGCUCACUAAAUUGUGAACUCCUUAAGGACAAGGCCUAUUCGAUUCAUCAUGAUAUUGUCUGUGCCUAGUGAAUUUCCCUUACAUUUCUAGAUAAAGAUUUACUGAAGGAAUGAAUGAACAGUAAUUAGGACAAUAGUAGAAGAAUCUGGAUUUGAAAGGGUCUUUGAGUCCCAAGAAAAUCAAUCAAAGGCCGGAUGCAGUGGCUUACACCAGUAAUCCCAGCACUUUGGGAGGCUAAGGUGGGCAGAUCACUUGAGCCCAGGGGUUCGAGACCAGCUUGAGCAACAUAGGGAGACCCUGUCUCUACAAAAAAUAACAAAAAUUAGCCGGGCGUGGUGGUGCGCACUUAUGGUCCCAGCUAAUUGGGAGCCUAAGGUGGCAGGAUCACCAAAGGCCAGGAGUUUGAGGCUGCAGUGAGCUAUGAUUGCACCACUGCACUCCAGCCUGGGUGACAGAGUAGGACCCUGUCUCAAAAAAGAAAUCAACCAAUAUUUAUGGAGUAUCUACAAUGUAGAAGGUUCAGUUUCUUUUUUCAACACAAUUUUUUUUUCCUCUGGUUGAGUUGUCUCCAUUUUUUAUUUUUAAAUUAAAGAAAUAUCAUUGUGGAACACUAAUGAUCUUAAAUAUCAGGGCUUAUCUCCAAGCUCUCCUUUGUAUGUAUUCUGUUACAUUCUUUGAAGAAUACAAAGAUUUAGAAGAAAAUGACUUUUAAAAAACCUAUCUGACUCACUCAAACAAAAUUGCUCACUUUCCCGGUCUAUUGUUGCUUUUCUGGUCUUUGGAAAGAGAUGAUGUCUUCUACCCGGCCUUGGAUUUUUUUCUUUUUUGUCCUCCCUUUUUUUUUUUGGUGGGGGCAAUUUUUGGAAGUAAAUGUCACAAUUGAUCAGUCAAUCUGAGUAGGCAUGGUCUAGUCUGUCCUAAGUAUUUUAUAUGAGUACCAUUUGACAAAGUCAGAAUUCUAUAAUGAUUUUUAACAUUUUUAUUUUUUUGAGAUAGUCUCAUUCUGUCACUCGGGCUGGAGUGCAGUGGCGUGAUCUUGGCUCACUGCAAUCUCUGCCUUCCGGGUUCAAGUGAUUCUCGUGCCUCAGCCUCCGGAGUAGCUGGGACUACAGGCGUGUGCCACCACACCUGGCUAAUUUUUGUAUUUUUUGUAGAGAUGGAGUUUCACCACAUUGGUCAGGCUGGUCUCGAACUCCUAGCCUCAAGCGAUCCACCCAUCUUGGCCUCCCAAAGGGCUGUGAUUACAGGCGUGAGCUGCCAUGCCAGGCCGAUUUUUAACACUUCUAAAAAGUUGUAACUCUUGAGACAAGUCCACUGUGACCUCAGAUGUAUAUACAUCCACAUCUCUAAGAGUCUCCUGGUUACUAGGGAAUUCCGCACAAGUUCCUCACAAAAUUCACAAGCAAGAAUAUUUAGAAUCAUGAAAUUCUAAAUCUGGGAAGAACCAGAGAAAGUCCAUCUGGUCUAACUUUUACAUUUUCCAGAUAAGAAAACUAAGUCCCGAGAAGCGACUAGUUAGGGAAAGAGCAGGCUUUUAGACUGCUCUUUCCUUUGACCUUUGGAAACAUUUUAAUCAAAGAACAAUCAUAAUAAGGGGAGUAGAGGAAUGUUAUCAUUCACAGGGCUUCCAAGUGACUGUGGAAAAUCUUGGGAGGCUUUGCUUUGGACUUUGUUAUCCAUUUAGGGACUGGCUGUUCUGAAUUGUUCUCUGUGCUAGGCCUUAUCUAAACCGCUUGCCUUAAAUCUUUGACCUUCAUUUAAAUUGCUGACACUUUCCCCUUGUGAAACUGUAUCAUAAUUUCUUCUGUCUUCUUUAGGCUAGCAGCAUUUCCCUUUCUUAUUCCCAGAAGAGCUCAGAGAAGCUUAUUUUUUUAGAUGAGUGAUGCAAAGAAAGGAAUGUGGCUGCACAAUUCUAAUUAUUUCAUAAAGUUCUGAGGUAUUUUUAGGGUGUUGCAAAGUGCUAAUAAAAAAUAAUCAUGUUCAUGGACAUACAGAGUGGAAUAAUAGACACUGGAGACUCCACAAAGUGGGAGGGCAGUGAGGGAUGAGAAAUUACCUGUUGGGUACAUUGUACACUACUCAGGUGACAGUCACACUAAAAGCCCAGACUCCACCACUGUGCAAUAUAUACAUGUAACAAAAAUGUACCCUUUAAAUCUAUAAAAAAUAAAUCCUUUCUAGCCCAGUUUGCUAAGGGUUUUUUUUUAUGAAGAACAUUUAUAAUAAACUCUUUGUUCUGCAUAAAAAA